rnacentral:lncRNA from 12 species
UAUGGUAGAAAAACCAUUCCCAAACAAACAAUAUUUUUAAAAGAUGCUAAAUGUACAAUACUAAAAUUAUUUUUGACACAAACUGCUGAGCUGGCGCUAACAGAUUGAAAUACAACAGAGUUAAUAGUACUUUUAUGCGAAGGACUCAGCCUUUCUCUUCAUUCUUUUCCUUUUAAAAUUUCUUUUCCUCUCUUCCUCCCUUCGUCCCAUUCUUCUUAGCUCUCUUUCCUUUUUGAGAAAUGCUUUUGCGAAGAAGUCAUAGUACAAAGUUAGCAACAUGCCAAUCCGAUCGUCACUGAAAGAUCUGAAAUUUACUCCAUUUCCCAGCCAAUGACUCAUAUCCUGCGUCAUAAACUGCCUAGAAGUGAGAAAUUGGUGUCUCUUUGGAAGCAAAAGAGAUUCGUUGUGAGCAGAGUGUGCUCUACAAGGUUCCUGCUGAGGUCCGAGCAAAGAUGGACACCUGCUUCUGUUGGGUUAACUGGCCCAGUCAUGGCUUCAGUCUCUUGCAUCUGCCAGGCUCCUGGAUGUUUCUUCUUUGGCCCCCCAAGGCUGGUCUGGAAACCUCCACCCUGUGCCUGUGCAGCACCAGCCUCCACCCAGCCGGGUCCCUCCGGAGUGAACUUCCCAGGGAUGCUGAGCCCCACGUGGAAGUCAGUGAGGCUUAGGUCAUCAGCACUGCUUCUUGCUGGCUAAAGACCCUGCUUCCCUUCUCCAAGCCUCAGUACCUUCCACUGUCCAAUGGGGAUAAUAGGAUCUUCCUCCUAGCUCUGCUGCAGGUAUUCUGGGAAAUAAUAUAUGUCCUCUAGUCAGUGAGCAGGAAAAGCUAGCUUUCUUUGGCUUUUUAUUUCCCCUUAUUUUCCCAUAGUUUUCUUUCCUUUUGGUGGUGUGGGGAGGGGAAUGAAAGCUAUUGCUAUGUCACCGACCAAUGUGACAGAGUUAUGAUGUGACUUACUUAGCAAUGACAGCCUGGGAC